CUCAGCCCCGACAGUCACUCAGAUAUAAGGCUCUUUCUGCCUGGGAAGUUCUCCCUGCUGCCUUUCCUCAUCCCAUUCCUGCACAUCCUUCAAGGCUCUGUUCAUGUUUCGCUCUUUCUGUGAACACAUCCCGCCUUCCCCGUGCCUGGGACUGCCAACCUGGAGAUGUCAUUCCUUCAUUUCUGCAGAGCAGCCCAGCCCUUCUUCCACUCCCAAGUGGUGGAACAGGAGCUCCCGCCCCAAGACACGUGCUGACCUCUGUGUCCAGUCCCGAUAUUCACCAGGUUAAUUAAUCGUGUUACUGAAGAAUUGAUUUGGCACAAGAGAGCUAUGCAUUUCCACAGUCCUCUGAAAGCAUGGAAAUUACUUCAUACAUAUGUAACCCCACUGGAAUUGCUUGACAGUUUUGAUUUACAAUGGAGAAAUCCAUCUCUCAUCAGCAGUGUGGGAAAAGAAAACAGGAAACCAAAAGGUUCAUUAAACUAAUGGAUCCAAGCAAGGGUCAUUCUACAACAAAGGAUUUUGUGGCAACUUCCAUCACAAACAAAAAAGAAAAAGGCUGCAGAGAAUUUCAGUCAUAACCCAGGUUUCCAUGAAUGUGGCUGCGGUUGCUGAUGGCCAUCUGGGUGGCCUCGGAUCCUCUGCGAUGUCACACGGUGCUGUCACAAGGAAGCCUCGCAGGAUCGGAGCCCACGCGGAGGAUCAACUCCAGG
rnacentral:lncRNA from 1 species